rnacentral:rRNA from 1 species
UGGGGGAUAUUGCACAAUGGGCGAAAGCCUGAUGCAGCGACGCCGCGUGGGGGAUGAAGGCUUUCGGGUUGUAAACCUCUUUCGCUAUCGAACAAGGCCCGCUUAGGGUGGGUUGAGGGUAGGUGGAGAAGAAGCGCCGGCUAACUACGUGCCAGCAGCCGCGGUAAUACGUAGGGCGCGAGCGUUGUCCGGAAUUAUUGGGCGUAAAGCGAGCGCAGGCGGUUUCUUAAGUCUGAUGUGAAAGCCCCCGGCUCAACCGGGGAGGGUCAUUGGAAACUGGGAGACUUGAGUGCAGAAGAGGAGAGUGGAAUUCCAUGUGUAGCGGUGAAAUGCGUAGAUAUAUGGAGGAACACCAGUGGCGAAGGCGGCUCUCUGGUCUGUAACUGACGCUGAGGCUCGAAAGCGUGGGGAGCAAACAGG